CGGAGGGUGCAAGCGUUGUCCGGAUUUAUUGGGUUUAAAGGGUGCGUAGGCGGCUUUUUAAGUCAGUGGUGAAAUCCAGCAGCUUAACUGUUGAAUUGCCAUUGAUACUGGAGAGCUUGAGUACAGACGAGGUAGGCGGAAUUUAUGGUGUAGCGGUGAAAUGCAUAGAUACCAUAAAGAACACCGAUUGCGAAGGCAGCUUACUAGGCUGUAACUGACGCUGAGGCACGAAAGUGUGGGGAUCAAACAGGAUUAGAUACCCUGGUAGUCCACACUGUAAACGAUGAUUACUCGAUGUGUGCGAUAGACAGUACGCGUCCAAGCGAAAGCGUUAAGUAAUCCACCUGGGGAGUACGAUCGCAAGAUUG
rnacentral:rRNA from 1 species